rnacentral:rRNA from 1 species
CUACGGGCGGCACCAGUGGGGAAUAUUGCACAAUGGGGGAAACCCUGAUGCAGCAACGCCGCGUGGAGGAUGACGCAUUUCGGUGUGUAAACUCCUUUUAUAUCCCAAGAUAAUGACGGUAGGAUAUGAAUAAGCACCGGCUAACUCCGUGCCAGCAGCCGCGGUAAUACGGAGGGUGCAAGCGUUACUCGGAAUCACUGGGCGUAAAGGGCGCGUAGGCGGGUUGUCAAGUCUUGAGUGAAAUCCAACGGCUCAACCGUUGAACUGCUUGAGAAACUGGCAGCCUAGAGUGAGGGAGAGGUAGAUGGAAUUGGUGGUGUAGGGGUAAAAUCCGUAGAGAUCACCAGGAAUACCCAUUGCGAAGGCGAUCUGCUGGAACUCUACUGACGCUGAGGCGCGAAAGCGUGGGGAGCAAACAGGAUUAGAUACCCGGGUAGUC